rnacentral:rRNA from 1 species
GACGAACGCUGGCGGCGUGCUUAACACAUGCAAGUCGAACGAUGAAGCUGGAGCUUGCUCCGGUGGAUUAGUGGCGAACGGGUGAGUAACACGUGAGCAAUCUGCCCUUGACUCUGGGAUAACUGCGGGAAACUGUAGCUAAUACCGGAUACGAGACCUGAAGGCAUCUUCGGGUCUGGAAAGAAUUUCGGUCAAGGAUGAGCUCGCGGCCUAUCAGCUUGUUGGUGAGGUAAUGGCUCACCAAGGCGACGACGGGUAGCCGGCCUGAGAGGGUGACCGGCCACACUGGGACUGAGACACGGCCCAGACUCCUACGGGAGGCAGCAGUGGGGAAUAUUGCACAAUGGGCGAAAGCCUGAUGCAGCAACGCCGCGUGAGGGAUGAAGGCCUUCGGGUUGUAAACCUCUUUUAGCAGGGAAGAAGAGAAAGUGACGGUACCUGCAGAAAAAGCACCGGCUAACUACGUGCCAGCAGCCGCGGUAA